UUUCCGUAGGUGAACCUGCGGAAGGAUCAUUGACGAAGCCUGCCCAGCAGAACGACCCGCGAACUUGUAUAAACAACCGGGGGCAGGGGCGAUCUCGCCCCGUGCCCUCGAACGGCAGGGAGACACUCGUGCCUUCUUGUCGAACAACGAACCCUGGCGCGGUCUGCGCCAAGGAACUUCAAUUAAAGAGUGCCUCCGGUCGCCUCGGAAACGAUGCGCGUGUCGGAGACGAAUCUUGUACAAAACCAUAACGACUCUCGGCAACGGAUAUCUCGGCUCUC
rnacentral:misc_RNA from 1 species